UGAAGCUUCCGGCCUUCGCCCCAGUAAUUCACCAGCUAUGGGGCUUCUUGAGUCAUGAAGGGCAGUGCACCAUGGCCAUCGAGUUCAGGUAAGAGCAUUGUGACAGUUUGGACACCCAGGUGAACAUCAGGCCCCACGGGAGAUGCACUUUUACCAGAGAAGUUAUCCAGAUAGCACUAGGAACCAGCAUGGGAUGCUCUGUGGCCAUUCAUUCCUGGGGCCCUACUCUCAGGUGUUGAAUGUCAUCAUAAAAAACAAUCCA
rnacentral:sRNA from 1 species